rnacentral:lncRNA from 1 species
AACAACCAAAAGGAGAAUCAAGUCUCCAAAACAGUGUCAAUAGUACAUAUUAAUAUGUUCAGACAACAGAAAUGAGCGAGGGCGAGUUGCUUAAGUUUCAACUGUGCAAAUUGAAGAUGAAUGGAAAAUGGUUAAGAGAACUAAAUUUAUUAGAAAUAAAGAAUCAGAAAGAAGGGAGUGAAGUAGAGGCAUACCCCUUCAAAAGAACAUAGAAGCACCGAACGUGGAAUUAUUUCUCCUCCCAGGUACUCUUUUCUCACAAUACUUAGGUCCGGCAGAGAAAAUAUCCUAACACUUAUGUCUGUCCACAUUCCAACGACAGCCAAUUUGCUGGGGUUUUGGUUUUUUACCACAGGAGUAAUAUCAAGAAGAAAGCACUCAUACUAUGCAAGCAUAAUCAACUGAAUUAUUGUACAAUUAACAACCCUAUAAACUUUACAGGGGUUAUUAAUUAAUGGUGCGUAACAGAAGGGCAAAAAAUGUGACAUCUAAAAUCACAUAAUUCAAUCCAACCUGGCUAGCAUUAGCAGUAGCAACAUUAAUAGAAUGGCCUGAAGGAGCACUCCACUCCCACCGACGUUCUCUCGUUGUGGAACUGGCUAGUAUAACUGAGCUUGAAGUAACCUGACAGCAUGACAUGAACAAGAUAAUCAACACAAAAUACCACACGACCAUUAGUAGUCCCUAAAUUAUUAGUACACAAGGAGUUUCAAAUAGGAUUAUAGAACCUGAGAAAGUGAAACUACUAUUGCUAAAAAAAAAGUAACCUACUUGCACAAGCUGAUUGUGGAUGGCAUAAUGACAGAACAAAGUCUGCACUUGUGAAUUAAAACCUUCAAUUUCAGUUUCUUCCAACUCAUCCUCAAGGUUCAUUGCCAGAACUCUAGUCUCACUAAUAAAACUGACAACAAGGAAGGUGUCAAAUGGAUCGUUGGUGGAAGAUCUCAAAGACCACAUUCCUUUAAUGCCUUGAAGCUCUACAGAUGCCUGCAUUACAUAGACCACUCCAUUAGCCUUCAAAACUAUGAAUACACAAGGUAGAAUUUGAGAAAUGAUGGGCUGCCACAAUGGAACCUGUUCAUUGAUUCCUAUUCCAUUCCGGACUAUACGAAGCGAACCAUCCUUGUAAGCUCCAGAACAUGUUACAACCUGACCCUGCCCUUGCCUUUCAAGAUCCACCACGCAAAAGUCCACUAUGGGUCCCAGAUUGACAUACCUUUCCAGAACUUCCACAUAUGAACCUCUGUUAUCAGGUUGUAAAUUGAGCUUUAUAAGCUGCAUUGCACCACAGUAGAUGGUUAGCACCUCAAAUCGCAGAUAAAAUUUCAUACUCCAUGGCUGAUACUCGAACAGAGACGCCAGAUAAUAUUUUGGUUCCAUUUCAGAAAUGCGAGCAUGCUCAAAAAGAAAGGCUAGAAUGCUCAUAUACAUACUGCAAAUUGUUCAAUCCCAAUGGUCAUUAUUCAAACACCUGAUGCAGACAUACCUGUGAAUCACCAAAACUAGAACCAAUGAAGACAAAUGCAUUAUCAAGGUAUGAUAUGGUUGAUGGAACAGAAGUCUCUCCCAAAAGCUCAAUCUUCAAUCCAGUGACCCUAAACAAUAGUAGAGAAGUUUAACAAAUGUUCUCAGAAACAAUAAAAUGGUGGUUAUCUGCGUUCCCGGUAUUAAUAUUCACUAGAGGAACAAUCGUAAACAAGUAUAUGACACAAGAACAGAAAAUAACUCACUUCUCUUUCUCAUGAGUUAGAUACUCAAAAUACUGCAGAUACAAGAACCAAAAGGAGAAUCAAGUCUCCAAAACGGUAAUAGUACAUAUUUCAUAUGUUCAGACAACAGAAAUGAGUAUGGGUGAGUUGCUUAAGUUUCAACUGUGCAAAUUGAAGAUGAAUGGAAAUUGGUUAAGAGAACUAAAAUUAUUAGAAAUAAAGAAUCAGAAAGAAGGGAGUGAAGUACAGGCAUACCCCUUCAAAAGCACAUAGAAGCACCGAACGUGGAAUUAUUUCUCCUCCCAGGUACUCUUUUCUCACAAUACUUAGGUCCGGCAGAGAAAAUAUCCUAACACUUAUGUCUGUCCACAUUCC